UAUGAUGAGCACUCCAAGUUCUCCUCAGAUCAUCGCUAACUGCAGACCCGACUCUUCUCUUCCCGAAUAUGAGCUCAAUGCAUGUGCGCAGCUGAGACCAUCCACGGGAAAUCCCGCUAGGUCCCAGCACCAUUGAUGACAUCACUUCCUGUACCGCCGGCUAUUGAUGAUGUCACUUCCGGUCCAGCAGACAUCACUUUCAGGUUCUGACGCCAUUGAUGGUGUCACUUCCGAUCCCAAUGAGCUGGAUUCCCCCAUUAGAGCCAAAGUACAUCUCCAGACUACUGUCAUCCUGUUCUUUUCUGUUUUUUAAUGUAUUAAAUGUGUCACC